rnacentral:misc_RNA from 1 species
UGAAUUUAAAUGGGACGAUACAAUUUUUUUGGCCAGGUAAUGAGACGGCCUCUUUGAAGUGGUGGGAACCAAGAGAUCAGUGUAGUGUAUUUAACGCCUGUGGGAAGUUUAGUAGCUGCAACAGUGAGAACAGCUUGCCCUGUAAAUGCUUGCCGGGAUUUAAGCCCAACAAACCGGAAAAUUGGUAUGCAGGGGAUUUUUCAUAUGGGUGUAAAAGAAUAUCGCCAAUAUGCAGCAAGUAUGCCAAGGAGAUUGGCGACUUCCUUAAUCUGAAGAAGAUGAAAGUGGGAAACCCAGACGGGGUAUAUGAGAAUUUGAAUGAAACUGCAUGCAAG